CCUACGGGAGGCAGCAGUGGGGGAUAUUGCACAAUGGGGGGAACCCUGAUGCAGCGACGCCGCGUGGGUGAAGAAGCGCCUCGGCGCGUAAAGCCCUGUCAGCAGGGAAGAAAAUGACGGUACCUGAAGAAGAAGCCCCGGCUAACUAAGUGCCAGCAGCCGCGGUAAUACGUAGGGGGCAAGCGUUAUCCGGAUUUACUGGGUGGAAAGGGGGCGCAGACGGCGAUGCAAGCCAGGAGUGAAAGCCCGGGGCCCAACCCCGGGACUGCUCUUGGAACUGCGUGGCUGGAGUGCAGGAGGGGCAGGCGGAAUUCCUGGUGUAGCGGUGAAAUGCGUAGAUAUCAGGAGGAAAACCGGUGGCGAAGGCGGCCUGCUGGACUGCAACUGACGUUGAGGCCCGAAAGCGUGGGGAGCAAACAGGAUUAGAUACCCCAGUAGUC
rnacentral:rRNA from 1 species